GACUGAGAAAACGGGCAGAGAUUUGGAGGUAUUUGUGCAUGCUCUAUAUUACAGUUGAAAAGUGUAUAACAGCUUUCCAAUGCUGUUACUUGUGGCGAACACCUUUUUGCUUGAGUUGAUGCGUGCCCGCAGGUGGAAUAAUGUCACAUGUCACACACAUUUUCUGUUGUUUUGAUUUAUUUACUCAUUCAUCAUUUUAUGUGCGCACCUCUCCUAAUCAACCCACCCAUUAAAUAGACGGGCACAAUAGCACCAUCUGCUGGCACAAAAAAUACAUAACAAUAAACUGCAAAACCCCAAUCUGGCUCCUACAAAGUGUAUGUGACAAGAUGAUUAACGUUUGCUUUUGUUAAAUCAGGGCUUCCCCAGCCAGGACUUCGGCUCAGACUGUGGCAUAUUCAUGUUGAUGGUAGGUCAUAACGAGCUGUAAUGCACAAAUAUUGUAUCUAGAAUAACUUUCCAACAUGGACUUUUUUAAAGUUAUCUCACAUGUUGUCUCAUAAUUUUUUUUUUAAAGUCUGCCAUGUACAUCGUUAUGGAGUCACAGUUCGACUACUCAGUUGUAAGUACUUUUCAACACGCAGUGUCAUCCUCAAGAUUGUAUUUUGUAUUGUGCACUAAAAUGAAAUACAAACAACAAUUUCAGCAUGACAUGCCUGUUUGGCGGCGAUGGUGGUGCCUGUUGCUCCUGGAGAACAAUUCUUUGAACAGGUAGACAGUUUAAGUAAACUAGAUGUCCUAAUUAACUGGAAGACAAUCAAUAUAUUGUACUUAAAGACAUAUUGUCAUUACAGUUGUGGGAAAAUCUUCGCCCACUGGACCAAAGGAUGUCAAGAGCUCAUUGCUGGAAAGCAUACUCCGGUCUUCAGUCUAAAGAGGAAGGCAGAGCAGCAGGACAUAGAGGUUAGAAAAUUGCCUUGUAAAAACAGUAUUAUCUCAGUGGGAGUCCUUCAAAAUGCACACAGUUGUAUGGAUCAACAUUGUCUCGAUGUAUUUGGUAAUUGAUGUUACUUUUCAAAUUGCCUUGUCAAGGAAACCAUGACGCAGACGGUAUCGGAUGUCCAAAGAAUGUGCAUGGCAGAUUCAAUGCAAUUCUGUGUCUACCAGACAUCGAACAACACAGGAGAGAGGUGUGUUGCAGACUCAAUUUAAUAAAUGCAAUUAUCGGGGCCUAUUCAGUGAUUUUCCAUGAAGUGACCACUUUUACAUAUAGUUUAAAUGCACGAAUCAUGCAGGAAAAUUAUUUAUACAUUCAAAUGUGCUGCAGAGGUAUAAUCAAUUGGACAGCGUGUUUGUUUGAUAUUAUGUUUGUCUCUCAUUUGAUCAGAUUGCUUUACCCUGAGGUAAACGUCAUAAAAUGGGUCCAGUGCAAGACGUGCAGGGGC